UCUCGUGCCGUAAGGUGUUGGGUUAAGUCUCGCAACGAGCGCAACCCUCGUGUUUAGUUGCCACUAUGAGUUUGGAACCCUGAACAGACCGCCGG
rnacentral:ncRNA from 1 species